rnacentral:rRNA from 1 species
CCUACGGGAGGCAGCAGUGAGGAAUAUUGGUCAAUGGACGAGAGUCUGAACCAGCCAAGUAGCGUGAAGGAUGACUGCCCUAUGGGUUGUAAACUUCUUUUAUAUGGGAAUAAAAUGUUCCACGUGUGGGAUUUUGUAUGUACCAUAUGAAUAAGGAUCGGCUAACUCCGUGCCAGCAGCCGCGGUAAUACGGAGGAUCCGAGCGUUCUCCGGAUUUAUUGGGUUUAAAGGGAGCGUAGGUGGAUUGUUAAGUCAGUUGUGAAAGUUUGCGGCUCAACCGUAAAAUUGCAGUUGAAACUGGCAGUCUUGAGUACAGUAGAGGGGGGCGGAAUUCGUGGUGUAGCGGUGAAAUGCUUAGAUAUCACGAAGAACUCCGAUUGCGAAGGCAGUUCACUGGACUGCAACUGACACUGAGGCUCGAAAGUGUGGGUAUCAAACAGGAUUAGAUACCCUUGUAGUC